rnacentral:rRNA from 1 species
GACGAACUGUCCUAACGUUGUUCGGAAUCACUGGGCUUAAAGGGCGCGUAGGCGGUCCAACAAGUCGGGGGUGAAAUCCUGCAGCUCAACUGCAGAAGUGCCUUCGAUACUGUUGGUCUUGAGGGAAAUAGGGGUGUGCGGAACUUCCGGUGGAGCGGUGAAAUGCGUUGAUAUCGGAAGGAACGCCGGUGGCGAAAGCGGCGCACUGGAUUUCUUCUGACGCUGAGGCGCGAAAGCUAGGGGAGCAAACGGG